GAUGAACGCUGGCGGCGUGCCUAAUACAUGCAAGUCGAGCGAACAGACGAUGAGCUUGCUCCUCUGACGUUAGCGGCGGACGGGUGAGUAACACGUGGAUAACCUACCUAUAAUACUGGGAUAACUUCGUGAAACCGGAGCUAAUACCGCAUAAUAUAUUGAACCGCAUGGUUCAAUAGUGAAAGACGGUUUUGCUGUCACUUAUAGAUGGAUCCGCGCCGCAUUAGCUAGUUGGUAAGGUAACGGCUUACCAAGGCGACGAUGCGUAGCCGACCUGAGAGGGUGAUCGGCCACACUGGAACUGAGACACGGUCCAGACUCCUACGGGAGGCAGCAGUAGGGAAUCUUCCGCAAUGGGCGAAAGCCUGACGGAGCCACGCCGCGUGAGUGAUGAAGGUCUUCGGAUCGUAAAACUCUGUUAUUAGGGAAGAACAAAUGUGUAAGUAACUAUGCACGUCUUGACGGUACCUAAUCAGAAAGCCACGGCUAACUACGUG
rnacentral:rRNA from 1 species